GCUUGCACUGGUGCUGCUGAUGGGAUGAUUUGUGAAAUUGAUUCCAUGACGGGAAACUCUUUAAAAAGGUUUAGAACUUCAACAAAGACUACAUCUGCCAUUGCCGUUUUAUCUGAUGGAAGUGUACUAGCUUCUGCAUCUGCACAAAUAAGGAUAUAUAGUUGCUCAGAUCACAAAAAGGGAGCUGUUCACUCUAUGAUCUUUAGUAAUGAUGGGAAGUAUGUUCUUUCCUGAGCUGCUGGUGGAAGAUACAUUGCUGUUUGGUAAGUUGAUGGUACCAAAACGCACUCAGCAAGCUGUACGCUGUCCAUGGAGCAUCCCGUAGUCUAUCUUGACAGCAGAUGCAUUGAUAGCGGAGGAGAAGAUCUCAAGGGCCUCUAUGUUUUGGCUCUUACAGAGACAGGCAUUUGUUAUUUCUGGUGUGGACAGAACAUUGAGGAGCUACGCGAUUCAAUUCUUGCAAAAGUCUCUUUUGUCUAUUGAGGACUCUUUAUUGAAGAAUCAUCAUAGUGCACCUACAAUACUUGCUGCAAAAUUACUAGGCAUUCCAAGUCGUGCAUCUGGGAACAUUUUUAUUUCCCAUUGUUUGCUGGUAAAGCCACUCUUUCAGAAAUUUUUAGUGCAUUUUGGGGAAAACAUGAAUUUAAACAGCUCUUGAGAUGGGAUUCUUUUGCCCACUGGUCAAUCCCUGGUUAGGGCUUGGAGAGGACAGGAUGUAAGGAAUAAAGGCAAGUCAUGGACCUUGUUCAGAAAUAGUAUUUUCUUUUUCUAUUCCAAUCAUCAUGGUCCUGGUGCAUAAAAUAAAAACAUCUGUAUGAGAAGAUAAUAUAAAUCAAAGUGGCAACACCAAAAGUUAUUACAUUCCCUUUCA